rnacentral:lncRNA from 1 species
GCUGAUUUAUUAUGAUUCUUACAAUUAUGAUAUAGGAAAUAUUACAUAGACGAUUCGACAACCGACAAUACUACCUGCCUUAUGAAAACCUACGCCUAACUGCAUCACCUGAGCCGUCCUAUGAAGAUCCACGCCUGGCCAGAUUUACUUGUUGAAGAUCCCUUGCAAGCCUUUCCUCUGUAGUCUGCAUAAUUGUUUAAUAAACCGCUCUCUCCGGGACUUGAAACCUAGAUUUCCUGUAAUCUGCAAUAAAUUGCAUAGUUUUGGAUUUGAACCCCAGACCUGGGUGUAGAAGCCUUUAAACCUUAACCAAUAGGCUACGCU